GACGAACGCUGGCGGCGUGCCUAAUACAUGCAAGUAGGACGCAGUUGCGAACGGGUGAGUAACGCGUAGGUAACUACCUAUUAGAGGGGGAUAACUAUUGGAAACGAUAGCUAAUACCGCACACUAGUAGAUGGAUCUGCGGUGUAUUCGCUAGUAGGUUGGGUAAUGGCCUACCUAGGCAACGAAGCAUAGCCGGACAGGUAGGGUGAACGGCCACACUGGGACUGGGGCACGGCCCAGACUCCUGCCGGGGGCAGGAGUAGGGAAACUUCGGCAAUGGGAGGAACCCUGACCGAGCAACGCCGCGGGGGUGAAGAAGGUUUUCGGGACGUAAAGCUCUGUUGGUAAGAGAACGGUACUUAACCAGAAAGGGACGGCUAACUACGUGCCAGCAGCCGCGGUAAUUC
rnacentral:rRNA from 1 species